GUGUUAAAGAAUUAUGGAAAUUUGCCAUUCGGGAUACACGUUGAAGAAAUUGCAGUGAUCAACUGAGUCGAAAUGUUUGGUGCAAAAGCUUUGAUUUUGUUGACAAGGAAAUGGAAAUUGAAACCACCAAACACUGUUUUGAGCUUUUCUUCCUCUUCACAACACGUGAAGUUCAAAGCUCCUAUGGAUAUGGCUGCUAUAGAUGGCGAACUUAGGGUUUUUCUUGUUGCGGGUGAAGUUUCCGGUGAUUCCAUCGCUUCUCGUCUCAUGGCUUCCCUUAAGCUUCUUUCUCCUUUCCCUGUUCGAUUUUCUGGCAUUGGAGGCUCUAAGAUGAGAAGUGAAGGAUUGCAAUCUUUGUUUCCCAUUGAAGAUAUCUCAGUAAUGGGAAUUUGGGAACUAUUGCCACAUUUGUAUACAUUCAAAGAGAGACUUAAUGAAGCUGUAAAAGCAGCUUCUCUAUUUGAGCCUCAUGUUGUAUUAACAGUUGAUUCUAAGGGCUUUUCUUUUCGGUUCUUGAAGCAGCUAAGAGCUAGACAAAGUCAGCAAAAGUUACAUUCGCCGGCACAUUUUCACUAUGUAGCACCGUCGUUCUGGGCAUGGAAAGGAGGGGAAGAAAGGCUCGGAGGACUGGCGGAAUUUGUGGAUCAUCUGCUGUGCAUACUUCCAAAUGAGGAUAAAGUUUGUAGAUUGAAUGGAUUAUCUGCCACCUUUGUUGGGCAUCCUGUUUUGGAAGACAUUAUGGAGUUGAAUUUGAUGAACAGUCCCUCAAUUAAUGAAUGUAAGGCUGAAGGAAAUGGCAAAGACUUUCGAAGAAAACAUGAAGUUCCACCAGGAGCCACUGUUAUUAGCUUGCUUCCUGGAAGCAGAGUACAAGAAGUCAGUCGGAUGCUUCCCAUCUUCGCAAACACAAUGGAACUACUGAAAGACAAUGUUCCACAGUUGAUGACAAUCAUUCAUGUUGCACCUAAUGAACAUGUGGAAAACUUCAUUGCUGGUGCUGUUCAUAGAUGGCCUGUCCCUGUUGUAUUGAUUCCUGGUGGGACAACACAUAUGAGAUAUGAUGCUUUUAGUGCUAGUAAAGUUGCAUUGUGCACAUCCGGGACAGUUGCUGUGGAGCUGCAGCUUGCACGUUUACCUUGUGUUGUGGCAUACCGUGCCCAUAUUUUGACUGAAUGGUUUAUUAGGUACAAAGCCAAGAUACAGUACAUGUCACUUCCCAAUAUUCUUUUGAAUUCAGCCAUUAUUCCUGAAGCACUCUUUCAAUCCUGCGAACCGGCAAACCUAGCCCUAUUGCUCAAAGAUUUAAUACAUGAUCAUGUUUGUCGAGAAAAACAAAUACUUUCAGCGUAAAAGUUUGUCAAGCUUUUAAUGCCUUCAGAAAGAAUAAACCAGAACCUUGCAGAGCAAAGUUUGACGGGAAAAUGUCCUGAUUACAGUCCAAGUGCUGUUGCAGCGUUGACUAUAUUAAACUAUGGGAAGCCUGUGAUUCAUGACUAAUAAACAAGUUUAUGUGGCAUUGAAUUUAUUACUAAUAAGGUUUAAGGUUUGAAGCAUUUAUAGCUGCAAAUCAGUUACUUGUUACUGUCGGAAGAAACAUUUUCUGUUGAUACAUAACUAGUGAGAAUAGCUUUCAAAGAGUCGAUUUAGCUUGCAUGAUUAGAAUGAUAUUUGCAACAAAAACUAUUAGUUGUCACGGUAGAUGUCUAAUAUAUUCUUGGAAAUGUUCUCUUC